ACAGGGGCGGGGGAGAGGGGAGGAUGAAGGAGGAGGAGGAAGAGAAGGGGCAUCCAGAGAGGCUGAUACUUUCACUUUCCUUUCAUCCCUCCCCUCUCCGCCCCUUUGGGUUUCUGCCAGGGAUCCCAAAGGAAACAGGGCUGGGACAGGCCAAGUCUGAAGGCUAGAGAUUAGAGGCUUACCUUGUGCCCAAGAACUGUACCCAAAGAUUAAGUGUCUGCCCUGGAUGGACACCUCACGGUCAAAAAACUUGGUCGCUUCUGCAUCCCUUCUCAUUAGGAUGUGGUGAAAAGUGAAGACAGGACUGUCUACACAGCUUGCAGGAUCCGGUACAAAAUAAAAUGUUCCAAAAUUA